GCAUAAGUAGUAUAUUAAAUAUGUUGGAUUUAGAAUUCAGAGAAAUGGUUAUGCU
rnacentral:tRNA from 1 species